UGAAGCAUGGUGUAAUGGUAGCACAUCAGAGUUUGGUUCUGGGAGUCUAGGUUCGAGUCCUAGUGCUUCAG
rnacentral:tRNA from 6 species